rnacentral:rRNA from 1 species
AGUGAACGCUGGCGGUAGGCCUAACACAUGCAAGUCGAACGGCAGCACAGUAAGAGCUUGCUCUUACGGGUGGCGAGUGGCGGACGGGUGAGGAAUAAAUCGGAAUCUACUUUUUCGUGGGGGAUAACGUAGGGAAACUUACGCUAAUACAGCAUACGACCUACGGGUGAAAGCAGGGGAUCUUCGGACCUUGCGCGAUUGAAUGAGACGAUGUCGGAUUAGCUAGUUGGCGGGGUAAAGGCCCACCAAGGCGACGAUCCGUAGCUGGUCUGAGAGGAUGAUCAGCCACACUGGAACUGAGACACGGUCCAGACUCCUACGGGAGGCAGCAGUGGGGAAUAUUGGACAAUGGGCGCAAGCCUGAUCCAGCCAUACCGCGUGGGUGAAGAAGGCCUUCGGGUUGUAAAGCCCUUUUGUUGGGAAAGAAAAGCAGCAGGUUAAUACCCCGCUGUUCUGACGGUACCCAAAGAAUAAGCACCGGCUAACUUCGUG